GACGGAGGGGGCAAGCGUUGUUCGGAUUUAUUGGGCGUAAAGGGCUCGUAGGCGGACUGGUAAGUCUGGCGUGAAAUCUCCACCACUCAACGGGGAGGGGCCGUCGGAAACUGUCAGUCUGGAGUACGGUAGAGGACCAUGGAAUUCCAGGUGUAGCGGUGGAAUGCGUAGAGAUCAGGAAGAACACCGGUGGCGAAAGCGCUCUGCUGGACCUUAACUGACACUGAGGGACGAAAGCUAGGGGAGCGAAUGGG
rnacentral:rRNA from 1 species